rnacentral:rRNA from 1 species
UACAGAGGUCUCAAGCGUUGUUCGGAUUCAUUGGGCGUAAAGGGUGCGUAGGCGGCGCGGUAAGUCGGGUGUGAAAUCUCGGAGCUUAACUCCGAAACUGCAUUCGAUACUGCCGUGCUUGAGGACUGGAGAGGAGACUGGAAUUUACGGUGUAGCGGUGAAAUGCGUAGAUAUCUGGAGGAACACCGGUGGCGAAGGCGGCAUUCUGGACCGAAACUGACGCUGAGGCGCGAAAGCCAGGGGAGCAAACGGG